rnacentral:lncRNA from 1 species
GCCAAGCUUGACUUGAAAGUCAGGACUGAUUGUGUGUCACCAAUCAGAUGCAAAGAGGCCAUGAAUGUUGAAUGCUAGGGUAUUUGGGAGGCUUCAGACAAGACAGCGAAGCUGUUUAGAGGCUUGCGUUAAUGGUGCAGAAAACCACUUCACCAACAUUUAAGACACCUAGGUGAGCUACCCUGCCCCCAGAUAGCUCAGGAAAUGGAGAUGGCUUAGACUGAACUGUUGGAAAUAGAUGUGUCCAGCUGAGCUGUUGACCAAGUGUUUAUUGAAGUGGAGAAGCCAUUGCACUUGACUUCAGAAUUCUGCCUUUUAGGCUGGGAGGGGCGGAAGGCUCUUUGGGCAGCAACCAAUGAGGCUAUUGGAUCCUGCCUUAUUCGUGACCAGUAUGAGUGAAACUUCAACUGAUUGAAACAGAUGAAGCUUGAGGAUGCAGGAGAAAUGCUCUCUGGAGAGGGUGUGCAGUGGCCACUUCAAAAAGUGUACUGGCUCUUUGGGAUAUACACACUGAAUGUUAAACACAAACCUGAGGCCGCCACUGCUACUGCCUAGAACCAGCAUGGAAACAAUACCCCUACCCCUCCUUUCCCCCAGUGUUGCAUAGUUUGUUAUUCUGUUGCUAAGAGCCCGUACUACUUUCUGUGCGAUGAGUUUGUGUGCAGGACAGUUUAAAACAAACAACAAUAGUUAAUGAAUAAAUUAAAUAAAAGGAGGAUGCUGUCAUUGGGAGAUCCAAACUGCACCAUCAGCACAUGCUGCAGGUCUGUCUAGUGCUGCUGACUGCGCUGCUGCAUUUACUACCAUGGCAGCGAUUGGUGACGCAUGCUCUUGACUGAAUGAACCAGGCAGCGGGAGGUGACUGAUCAUUGGAACUGGUGGUGAAGUGUGUCUAGCUAUGGUGAAGCUUGGAUCUGCGUCAUGGCCCAUGAUAUUUCUGUCUGCAAGAACCUGGUUCCAGUUUCUGUGAAUCCAGACCCUGAGGAGCAGGGAAGUACGGACCUUGUGGAAGGAUCACUGGAUAGAAAACUGCAGAGGCCUCUCCUGGGAAAGUCAAGGACCCUUCCCAGCAUUCCUCAGUCCCCUGUCCUCAGCAGGGUUCCUCUUUUGGAUUCAAAAUUGUAUAGGGAGGAGAUGCCAGAGCAGAAGCAGUACAAGAACCACUCUGCCUCAGACUGUCAGAAAGGGUGCACAGUGCCCUCUGCUGGGGAGGCCUGGCAGCUGGAAGACGAUUGUGUGGAGCCUCCCGGGGAUACCGCUCCCCAGACCCAGCUCUGCACUGCCAUGGACGAGGCCCCAUUCAGGCACUUCCAGACGCACUCCUUCUACAUGAGGAAAAGCCUGUCUAUGGACAACCACCUGAGCUCCCUCAGUUACUCUCUCCACCCGUCAGAGACGAAGGCUGAUCGCGUCAAAACCAAGCUCAGGAGGCAGUUUGUGAGUACUUGAUGGGAGGGGUUGCUCUCCCCCCCCCCCCAAUUCCCAUAGUCUAUAUUGAAGGUUACCUGCAUAUGUGCACACAUUCUCAAAAACAGUGACAUGCUGGAUGGUUAUUUUUAUUCAAAACAUGUUAAAAAAUAGUUUGGCUCCCCAGCUUGGUCAAACAGAUGGCAGUAGCAUCGUCUGGAGUUUGGCAAAAUCACACCACAAAACCGAUUUGUCUCGUUUGUCAGGUUUUUAAAUCGCUAAUGUUAAAAGAAAAGCUGUCAUCAGAGACCGCACCUGCUUAGGCUGGGUAAUGCAGUGUGGUAACAUGCUAUCUCUUCAGCUCUGGAAGCUUCCAUUCAAAUCUUGUUUUUAUUUUUUAGGCCUCAAAUAAAAAUGGGUUUGUGGUCUUAUACCA